AAACUGCGGAGGGAUCAUUA
rnacentral:rRNA from 1 species